rnacentral:tRNA from 1 species
GACCCGCUAGCUCAGUUUGGUAGAGCAUCUCCCUUUUAAGGAGAGGGUCCUUGGUUCGAGCCCAAGGCGGGUCA